rnacentral:rRNA from 1 species
AAUAGCGGAGGAAAAGAAAAUACUAUGAUUCCCUUAGUAACGGCGAGUGAACAGGGAAAAGCCCAAAUUUGUAAUCUGGCACUUUUUACAAGUGUCCGAGUUGUAAUUUGUAGAACUGUUAUCCGYGCUGGACCAUGUACAAGUCUGUUGAAAAGCAGCAUCAUUGAAGGUGAAAAUCCUGUAGAUGAUAUGGACUACCAGUGCAUUUGUGAUACGGUUUCUAAGAGUCGAGUUGUUUGGGAAUGCAGCUCAAAGUGGGUGGUAAAUUCCAUCUAAGGCUAAAUAUAAGUGAGAGACCGAUAGCAAACAAGUACCGUGAGGGAAAGAUGAAAAGAACUUUGAAAAUAGAGUUAACAGUACGUGAAAUUGCUGAAAGGGAAACGUUUGAAGUUAGUUUUGUAUUCGUUGGAUCAGCUUCGCAAGGAGUGUAUUCUGAUGAUAAGCAAGUCAACAUCAAUCUAUGAGUGUCGGAGAAGGGUUUUGAGAAUGUAGCAAUUUUUAUUAAUUGUGUUAUAGCUUGAGACUUGGAUACGAUGCUUUGGAUUGAGGAACGCGUAGUAAGCUUUGAGCGGAUUCGAAAGGAUCUCCUUACUAUGGAUGUUG